GGAAAUGUUUCAAUGAAAGUCUUAUCCCAAAUCAAAGGUACUCUGGAAGAUAGCGGACUAUUACUCUGGGGAGGUUAGCGAGAGAGACUCGCACUCAAAGACGGCUCAAAAACGGAGGGUCAUCAUCGCCAGGAAGUCCCAGGAUGCACCUGACCUCUUCCCCUCCCGUAGCUAUGGAGUGGGGGGGGGGAGUUGAGCUAGCUCUUUAAUGGACGAGGCUGGAGAUGAUUCUGUUACUUACUGAGGCCCUGAAUGGCUCAGUGAGAUACGUAAGGCGCUUUCGUUUCAAUAGUGUGCCGUUGUUUGAUUGAUAGACGUAUAAAUGCUCUUGGCGUCGCGAGAAUUUAAAGUCCAUUGGUUCUCCUCAUUAUGUCGCUUUGGUAUUUUGUUCGGUGUCGGCUUAUAAGAGAGUACCGUUGUUAAAUUAAUUGUACCAGGGCUCCUCUUCCCAUCUAAAAAAAAAUUGUAACAAAAAUAGCUUGUAAAAAAAUGUGUGGUGUCCCAGAGCUGCCAACUCUCCCUGAUUCUUCAGAAAGUUCCCUGAAAAAAAUGAACCAAUCUUUCCAUGUUCUGAUGGAUAAAUUUGGAAAUUGUCCCUGAUUAUGGAGGCUUUGUUCCUAUUAUGUUGAAUGUGAUUCUUAAUAUCGCCCUGAUUGUUGCACGCCUUGAACUCCGCUCUCGAAGGGCCACUACAAUUUUCCUCCGGUAAGUGGCACUCUAUGAGGAAAAUGUAAAAUCCCUUACAAAAAAGUCCCAUCAAUAGGCGAAAUACCUAUAGAAUCCUAUAGAUUUUUCGUCACUUCUUUGAUUCCUAUAAGGGAUUGCAAAGGGCACCCUGGCAAUUGCUUUGGGUGCCGUGGGUUAUUUUGAGAUUGUACAUGAUCCUCCUGAUUGCAACAUGCAAAGGGUGGCAGCUCUGGGUGUACACAUGUAAACUGAAUGAGAGAAGAAAAACCCAGUAAAUUGACAACGUAUGGAUGGUGGUGGAGCUCUGCAAUGGGAGGAAGUACAGAUCAAGAGAUGACCCGUUGUAAUGAGGCUUAGAGACGCGGCAGGAAGCUACUGCCGUGAGUGUGGUUUUGGGAUCGUGCCAAGGGAUUGCAAACGACUGCCGGAACUGUACAAGAAAAAAUCGCACAAUAGGGAGAAAGGAAAAAGGAAGAAAUGUUGGGUCUUGCUGUCCUUGCACUCUGCAGGAUUGACACGCCGAGCACGUGACUACUGUGUGACAAUGACUGAAGGGAUGCUCAACAGGUACUUGGCCUACAUUGACUACGUCAAUGCUUUGGAGAUGAGCACCAGCUCACAGAUUUCUUUAUCUGCACUGCAAAGUCGCCACUCUUGGGUUUUUGGGGUUUUUUUUUUGGGGGGGGGGGGGGGGAGAGGAGGAUUUCCUUUUUCUAUAAUUUGAUUCAAAAAGGGGAAUUCUUUAAAAACUAAAUAUCAGGAAAUUUUGUGAGAAUGGCAAUUGUAAUGUGAUGGGAAAAAAACAAUUGUAAUGUGAUGGGGAAAAAAAACAUGCCACCUGCUCAUAUUCAAAGGGGCAUUGCCGCUGAUUUAACUGGUAUUCUUGUGUGUACUGGCAUUGUACAUGUACAGGGAGAGGGUAACCACUUCAGGUGGGCGCCAUUUUUAAGA